CCCUUAGAUGUCCUGGGCUGCACGCGCGCUACACUGAUGUGUCCAGUAAGCACCUAACCUCUUCCGAAAGGAACGGGUAACCUUUGCAAAGCACAUCGUGAUGGGGAUAGAUUAUUGCAAUUAUUAGUCUUGAACGAGGAAUUCCUAGUAAGCACAAGUCAUCAGCUUGUGUUGAUUACGUCCCUGCCCUUUGUACACACCGCCCGUCGCUCCUACCGAUUGAAUGUUCCGGUGAGCUCUUCGGACUGCGCGGUCUGCAGUUUCUGCGGUCCGUGCGGAAAGUUGCGCAAACCUUAACAUUUAGAGGAAGGAGAAGUCGUAACA
rnacentral:rRNA from 1 species